rnacentral:rRNA from 1 species
GAUGAACGCUGGCGGCGUGCCUAAUACAUGCAAGUCGAGCGAACAGAUGAGGAGCUUGCUCCUCUGACGUUAGCGGCGGACGGGUGAGUAACACGUGGAUAACCUACCUAUAAGACUGGGAUAACUUCGGGAAACCGGAGCUAAUACCGGAUAAUAUAUUGAACCGCAUGGUUCAAUAGUGAAAGACGGUUUUGCUGUCACUUAUAGAUGGAUCCGCGCCGCAUUAGCUAGUUGGUAAGGUAACGGCUUACCAAGGCAACGAUGCGUAGCCGACCUGAGAGGGUGAUCGGCCACACUGGAACUGAGACACGGUCCAGACUCCUACGGGAGGCAGCAGUAGGGAAUCUUCCGCAAUGGGCGAAAGCCUGGCGGAGCAACGCCGCGUGAGUGAUGAAGGUCUUCGGAUCGUAAAACUCUGUUAUUAGGGAAGAACAAAUGUGUAAGUAACUAUGCACGUCUUGACGGUACCUAAUCAGAAAGCCACGGCUAACCACGUG